GUGAGAGCAAGCAAUUACACUGGAGAGAUGUCGAAAUCCAUUGUGGGUGCAAUACUACUUCAGAUGGAUUGACAUGAGGAUGUUAGCUUCUUGCUAGCUGAAUACCAGUGCUCUCAGAACCAUGUUGUGGAGUUGAUGAUAACAUUAUUUGAAGCUGCUGUAUGGGUGAGAUGAGGAUCUACUGUUCCAUGUGGGGUUAGGGUAUCACGUGGACAGUGUGUUUAAAGCAGAGCCACUACCGUUUAUGCAUUUCACUUUGUCCUUAUUGUACUCAGAUAGUUUUUAUGCACUUUACUCACAG